GUAGUAACCUUUUUCCAAGACUUCGGUUAUCUGAAAAGGAAAAUUAUAGGUAGACAAUGAAAAUAUUAAAUAAUAUGAAUAAUGGAUAUAUUGGAGGUUCAUUUUACUAGGUGUGCGGAUGGUUAUUCUAAUAUUAAGAUUUAGGUGAGUAAUUUAAAAGUGUAGUGUGUUUUGAUUUGAUUGGUAAUUGUUCAUAUUAUUCAAAAAAGUUAUUGGUUAUC